AGUGAACGCUGGCGGUAGGCCUAACACAUGCAAGUCGAACGGCAGCACAGUAAGAGCUUGCUCUUACGGGUGGCGAGUGGCGGACGGGUGAGGAAUACAUCGGAAUCUACUUUUUCGUGGGGGAUAACGUAGGGAAACUUACGCUAAUACCGCAUACGACCUACGGGUGAAAGCAGGGGAUCUUCGGACCUUGCGCGAUUGAAUGAGCCGAUGUCGGAUUAGCUAGUUGGCGGGGUAAAGGCCCACCAAGGCGACGAUCCGUAGCUGGUCUGAGAGGAUGAUCAGCCACACUGGAACUGAGACACGGUCCAGACUCCUACGGGAGGCAGCAGUGGGGAAUAUUGGACAAUGGGCGCAAGCCUGAUCCAGCCAUACCACGUGGGUGAAGAAGGCCUUCGGGUUGUAAAGCCCUUUUGUUGGGAAAGAAAAGCAGCAGGUUAAUACCCCGCUGUUCCGACGGUACCCAAAGAAUAAGCACCGGCUAACUUCGUG
rnacentral:rRNA from 1 species